UAUUUUUAAAUGUUCUAAGGGAUGGAGAUGGAUGUCUCAAUGACCCUCGAGUAAAAUGCAUUUUGAACUAUUUGUUCAUAAUGCAAAAGUUGGAUGAUGGCCUUCAAUGCAAUUUUCAUACGAAAUUGUAAUCAUAUGAUUUAAGGGAUGGUAAUUGUAUCUAUUCUCCUUUUAAGACCCUAAUUGUGAAACUGUUGCUGAGAUGAAGGGUGGUGUGGUAUACAUGUGCCCACUAUGGCCCAAAAAUGUUGGAUGAUGCCUUAAUUCGAAAGCUAGUUGUUGCCUAAAAUGCAAUUAAGACCCUAAUUGUGAAACUGUCGCUGAGAUGAAGGGUGGUGUGGUAUACAUGUGCCCACUAUGGCCCAAAAACGUUGGAUGAUGCCUUAAUUCGAAAGCUAGUUGUUGCCUAAAAUGCAAUUUUAAUAUGAAAUUUUAUUCAUAAUUUAAGGCUUGGAUGAUAUCUAUUGUUGAUGACCCUAGUCCUUAAAUGCUAUUUACAACAACAAUAUGAAGUGAUUUUGCAAAUGCAAAAUGCAAUGCGACUUGUGUUGGAUUAGCCUACUGGUAACGGUUUCAAAGGAAUGGGAAUGGAACUGUAAAUGUGUUUAGUACUCAGUGCUAACUUUUUCAAUUGGGGAUGGACAUUGGAUUUACCCUAUUUGUUAUUGUUGGAUGGUCUUAACUGUAUUUGGGCAGUAUCAAAUCUCAGUGGGAUCACAAAGGGAGGAUAUUUCCAGAAAGCAUUAUUUGGUGGAAAAUGUAUCUGUCAUAUGUUUUUGACUGCACACUUAUUAUGAAAGUCUCAAGCAUUAUAUUUUUCUUGAUUAAACCCACCACAGAGCCCUCUUCUAGGUUAAAUGGAGGUCCUUGCUGUUCUUCAGUUGGACACGGAGCUUUUGCUGAACAUGGUCCUUUCAAGCCUACAAGAAAAGACCAUCUUAUGAAAAACCAACUUGCACAGCUAAUCCUUCAAACCAAAUCCACCAAGAUUAGCUUGAAGAAGAUACCUCAGACAAACUUGCUGCGAUGACCGAUGACAGUUCUUUCGGAAUGUAGCAGGUGUUUCUUGCAUAAGUACUGUGACUUUUGUGGCCAGGAAAAAAUGAAGACAUUGAGGAUUGGCAUACAAGUGGUAACACCAGCAUACAUAGGAUUAAAGUUCAUAGCAGAUUGCCAUCCCCUUUCAACUGCCUUUUCUAUAACUUAAUGCACAUGGAUUGAACUCAACUUUAUGUCUGUUGUUGCUAGUCACCGUGGUAAUCUUCAGCUUACUGCUGCUAACCUUGGCAAGAGAGGAAUUCAGCUCUUCCCUUAUGGCCAAAUGGUAAUGCUAGCUACUAUUACUUACACCUAUAACAUGGGAAUUGAACUAUAAACGUGUUUACUGUUUCGUACUCAGUGUACUAUCUUUUCCAAUUGAGGUUGGGCAUGAGGAAUACCCUAUUUGUUAUUGUUGAUGGUCUUGGCUGUAUUUGGGAAGUAUCAAAUUCUCAGUGGUAUCACAAAGGGAGGAUGUAUCUGUCAAUGUUUUUGACUGCAGCCUUAUUAUGAAAUAUAAUCUGAUUAAUCUUUUUUUUUUUUUUGACUAUGAAAUCUGAUAAAAUGAUGGUGUGUGAUCAAUGGAUAAAAUUUGGCGGACACUAGUAUAACGAUCAGAGAACACUAGAUUUGUGUUGAGAAUUGUAAAUGCAAGUCUUGGAUUUAGUAACUGGAUAUAUGUGAGCUCUUAUAAGUGGAUACAAAAAUUGCAAUUGAUGAAUUAUGUAGGUGGUGCAACAUAUAAACUUGUGAUGAACUUUGUUUUGGAAAAUUUUUUGUAUGACAGUUCUUGCAAUUCUAGUGUGACAUUAUGGCCAGGCUACCAACUCCUUAUUGCAUAAUUAUUAGGAAAAUUCACAUUCUUUUAAUAGUUUUGGUUUCAUGGCUGUGUUUUUUUGCAGUGAGAAUGCUCCUUAACGUGCGUCGUGCCCGAAGCUACAUUUUGUAGCUUUUAUAAAUCACGGUAGAAAUUUUCUUGGGAAGCGUAAAAUGAGAUUAGAAUGUGUAUCCAAACAUAUUGUUCAUCUUUCAAAAUUAAGAUAGGGGCGUUUGCUAAUUUUUUAAAAUGACAAUGUCUAAAUUGUCUGCAUAACUAGGACAUGAGAAUGUGAUUACUAUCUUUUGGUGUAGAUUCAUAUUCACAAGACCAUAUUUUAUAAGUAAAUACUUCUCUGCAAAUUGAUAUCCUGUUGUGUUUAAUAUUCUCUAAUAUAGAGGAGCUAUGUAUUUCCAAGGGUUUUCUGAAGAUGACCUAUUUAAUAGUUAUUAAAUAUUGGUUGAAAGGAUUGUUCUUGUUGAGCCUACAAGUUGUAACACCAGAUAGGAUUGACAUUCAUAGCGAACAU